rnacentral:rRNA from 1 species
AUACGUAGGUGACAAGCGUUAUCCGGAUUUACUGGGCGUAAAGGGCGUGUAGGCGGUCUUGCAAGUCAGAAGUGAAAUUCCCGAGCUCAACUCGGGCGCUGCUUCUGAAACUGCAGGACUUGAGUGCUGGAGGGGAUAGUGGAAUUCCUAGUGGAGCGGUAAAAUGCGCAGAUAUUAGGAAGAACACCGGUGGCGAAGGCGGCGAGCUGGUCAGUACCUGACGCGGAUGCGCGAAAGCGUGGGGAGCAAACAGGAUUAGAGACCUGGGUAUUCCACGCCGUAAACGAUGAAUACUAGGUGUAGGGGGUAUCGACUCCCUCUGUGCCGCAGUUAACGCAAUAAGUAUUCCGCCUGGGGAGUACGGCCGCAAGGUUGAAACUCAAAUGAAUUGUCGUGG